rnacentral:rRNA from 1 species
AACGUAGGUGGCAAGCGUUAUCCGGAUUUACUGGGCGUAAAGCGUGUGCAGGCGGGGGUACAAGUGGUGUAUGAAAUUUCCCAGCUUAACUGGGAAGGGUUAUGCCAGACUGUACUUCUGGAGUGCGAGAGAGGGGCGUGGAAUUCCGGGUGUAGUGGUGAAAUGCGUAGAUAUCAGGAGGAACACCUGUGGUGUAGACAGCUUACUGGACCAUAACUGACGCUGAGGCACGAAAGCGUGGGUAGCAAACAGG